AAAGAGAGGAAAGGGGAGAGCCUUUAUUAUUGAGUCAUCCGGUAUCGAGGAUAACAAUCAGUAAACAAUUUUAAAAUGUGCGCAAUAAACGCAACAUGAGUGGCGCUAAAAAGAGAAUCAAUCACUUGGCAGUAUUCAAAAGAAGAACAAAAAAUGACGAUAACGCCGAGUUAUCCGAAGAUAUCAUUUUAUCGGCGAGAAAAACUGGAAAUUUGGACCUCUCGUCGAGAGGAUUGUUCACGGUACCGAACGGAGUAUGGAAUAUAAAUGAUUUAACCGAAGACGAACUAAAAGAUUUACAUUUCGAACUGGAUUACGUACACGAGAAUGAACGGUGGUGGGAACAAGAGCCUCUUAAAGUUCUAAAUUUAAGUUGUAACAGUUUAACGACAAUCGAUUCGAAAAUAGAGUCUUUAACAGAGUUAACUAAAUUAUAUUUACACAAUAACUUGUUACAAGAGUUGCCUACUGAAAUAGGAAAUUUAAAAAAGUUGAAACUGUUGAGUCUAUCGCACAAUAAAUUAGAGAAGUUACCCUAUGAAUUUUAUAAGCUGAGUGAAUUGAACGAGCUAAACUUGAAAAAUAAUUGUAUAAAAGAACUCGAUCCUGCAGUCGGUGAUUUUGUAAUGUUAACUGACUUAAAUUUAUCGCAUAACAACUUGGUUGAAUUACCAAUCGGGAUGGGGUAUUUGGUACGAUUGAAAUCUUUGGAUUUGAGUCACAAUAUGUUGAAAGAACUGCCACCUGAUUUGACUAACAUGAGAGCAUUGCAAAAAUUAGAUGCAAGUAAUAAUCAGUUGGAAGAAUUACCACCUAUGGGUGACUUGAGAAAGGUAGAAACAGUGAUGUUGCAAUCGAAUCAGUUAACAACGUUCCCUGAUAUGUCUGGUUGUACAUUGUUAAGAGUACUAUAUUUGGCUGAUAAUAAAAUUCCUGAACUCGAUAUGUCUUGUUUAGAAGGUGUGGGUCAAUUAAAAUCUUUGACAUUAGGUGGCAAUCGAAUUGAGACAAUACCAGAGGAAAUAAUAAAACUGGUGUCUCUAGAAAUAUUCGAUUUAUCACACAACAAAAUAAAUCUAAUACCAAGUGAAAUUGGUGUAUUACCUAAUCUGAAACAAUUUGUGAUUGACGGGAAUAACGUGAAAAAUGUUAGAGCCGAUAUUAUACGAUGCGGAACGUCACGAAUUUUGAAACAUGUACGUCAGGACGUUAAAAGUACAAAUUUAAAUGCAGAACAUGUGGUAUCGGACACUAGUACAAAUAAUUAUCCAGACAAAUAUACGAUGCAAAGUACAAAGUUGUUAAGUUUGGCUGGGAAGAAUCUCACUGAAUUGCCGGAGGAAGUGUUGGAGAACGCGUGUAAAGCUGACGUCAGUACCGUGGAUUUAAGCAGAAACAAACUGUCUAAUUUACCCGAUCGAUUGUCUAUAAUCGCGAGAGUCGCUGAUUUGAAAUUAAUGUCUAAUCAAUUAACAUGUAUACCUGACUGGAUCGGUGAAAAUUAUAAAUAUCUGCAAGCUUUAGAUUUAAGCAGGAAUCUUUUGGACUCGCUACCUCCCACCCUCGGCUCGCUUCAAUUUCUGAAAGAGCUUGACAUCUCGUUCAACAGGUAUAAAGAAAUACCAGAAUCCGUUUACGAUGUUACCUCUUUAGAGGUAUUAAGGGCAAACGAUAAUAUGAUUAACGAUAUCGAUGUAUCGUCUUUACAAAAAUUGCAAAGACUCGCGAUACUGAAUCUCGCUAAUAACAACAUUGGACUAGUUCCACCGGAGCUUGGGAACUUAAAGCAUCUAAGGGAUCUAGCUUUAUCUGGAAAUUGCUUCAAGCAACCAAGGCAAGCUAUCUUAGCAAAAUCGACAGAGGAAAUACUUGCGUAUCUUAGAAAUAGAAUACCUCGAUCAAAUGAAUGAAACCGUGUACCUAAAUGGGAGAUGCAGGGAACGAAGAUAUGUGUCAAAUGAAUUAUAUGACGUGGGAUUUUAGGACGAACGAAUACGCGAGGUUCAGUAAAAAUCUUACGUUUAAUGAACUGCAUUUCUCGAAUCGGGGCAACACGUUCCUUGAAGAAUUUUUCUAAACGCCUAUUACAAAAUAGUUGCAAAUGAGCCUGCGUACCAAC